AUACGGUGAGUGUGUGGCGUCAGUAUGCGUGUGUGGGCUUAUGUAGUGUAUGUGGGUAGAGACCAGUGUGAGUCGGUGAAAGAGAGUUAAGUAAAUGCAGGUAGUCCGGGGAGUUAUUUAGCAGCCUGGUUUAGCAGCCUGGUUUAGCAGUCUUUAUUGCUUGGGGGUAGAAGCUGUUCAUGGUCCUCUUGGUUCCCGACUUGGUACACUGGUACUGCUUGCCGUGCUUGGGUGGCUGUAGUCUGACAAUAUUUUGGGGGCCUUCCUCUGUCACCGCUGGGUAUAGAGGUCCUGGAUGGCAGGGAGCUCGGCCCCAGUGAUGUACUGGGCUGUACUCGCCACCUUCUAUUGCGUCUUGUGUUCGUUCGGGUGCCUUGCAGUUUCCGUACCAAGCGGUGAUGCAGCCAGUCAAGAUGCUCUCAAUGGUGCAGCUGUAUAACUUUUUUGAGGAUCUGAUGGGAGCUGUGCUGGACUGUACCAGUCAACAACACUCCUGCAAUAAACCCUUCCAACCUGGCUGCGAAACUGACCACUAAUUCAGUGAUACUGACGUCCCCAAGUUGUUACUUCAACAGUCUGGCCAAUUUGCCCUGCAAUUCUACUACUACCUGUGAAUUAUGGCUCGUAUCGGCCAUAGAUACAGGAGUCAGCAAUUAUGAUGCCGACAAGAACAGGUCCAACAUUGACACCCUCUCUCCUUAUCCAACCGCCUUCUCUUCCAACACCUCGAAGAAAUACUUCCUGACCAAGUUGGGGCUUCAGAAAGACUACCCCUGCCCCAUCGCCGCUGGAACAGACUACUUCAGGGUUGGCUCUGACGGUAGCUGUUCCACUCCGAACUGUAAUGGAAUAUUGCCUGUUGGCUCCACUGCCAGAUUUAGGUAUGUUCUUAUCAACCCAGAGAACAAAACAGUUGUUGCGGAGAGUUUGUGGUCCAACAACAUCACUCUUUACCCUUUGAAAGACCUUGAAAGCAUUGAUAAUGGCUUUGCUGGAAGGUCUGCGUCCAUGAUUGUCAUUACAUCUAUCCUGUGUUCCUUCCUGGCCUUGCUGCUGCUGCUAUUGCUCAUCAUGCUGAUCUAUAUCCUUUGCUGUCGGAAGGAGAAACAGGAAAUCCAAGUUCCAGGAUCAGUGCGCAUGUAUGACACUCACAACUUGAAGGAGCCUUCCCCCUAUGUAAACCGUGCUUAUGAGGAUGAGCCACAGAGACCCACAGCCACUAGCCCCAUUAGGCUCAAGAGCUACACUGACUAUGAUUUGAAAAAACCAGCCACAGAAUUGUAGUAAGUGUUUAUGAGAGGAAAAUGUUGCACUUAGUGGUUCAUUGACACAACAUCAAUUUCUUACUGUCAUUCAUGAUCAAUAUGUUUAUGAUAUUAAGGCUGGGGGUUUGAUAGCUAUUUAGAGGUCUAAUUUUGUUGCUUCAUUUAAAAUAGCCGGAGUCGAGUCCUAUGUUUAAAAUACAAUGUUAAAUUCACGUUAUAGGCUAAAUUUAUUUGGAGGCAAUGACUUGUGUCAUAAAUAUAAUCUAUUUAGACAGAAAAUAUGCAAUUGAGUGUGCACCAAGCUAAUCAAAACUCAAUUUUUUAACCAUAUAUUUAUAGGUAUUUUUUCUCCCUUUUUACAAUAAUCAAAAUAGAAAGAGAAGUUCAUAAUACUCAAUUUCUCUCAUAUCUCCUAUAUGCUGUCAUCAUUGCUGUGUAGUGUGUAAAUGGGUCAUUCUAUGAAAAUGAACAUUAAAAAUAAUUGUUUACCAAACUUUGUCAGAUAAUAGCUAACCCCUUAACAUUUUAAAUCAACAUAAAUGACAGCUGGGGGUGAUGCCUGUGCUGAAAGGACUAGUAAUAAAGGACUGCUAACCUACAAAGCAUUACAUGGGCUUGCUUCUACCUAUCUCUCCGAUCUGGUCCUGCAGUACAUACCUACACGUACGCUAAGGUCACAAGACGGAGGCCUACCCUGCUGGUCAUCUUUGAACGUUUGAACAUCAUGGCCAUGUACUGUUAUAAUCUCCAUCCGGCACAGCCAGAAGAGGGCUGGCCACUCCUCAGAGCCUGGUUCCUCUCUAGGUUUCUUCCCAGCUUCCUGCCCUUCUAGGCAGUUUUUCCUAGCCACCAUGCUUCUACAUCUGCAUUGCUUGCUGUUUGGGGUUUUUGGCUGGGUUUCUGUAUAGCACUUUGUGACAUCUGCUGAUGUAAGAAGGGCUUUGUAAAUACAUGUGAUUGAUUGACUAGUAAAGGCCUAGUGCACUACUUUUGUGAUUUAAAAAAACCAAAAUGUAUUCAAGUGUUUACCAGCAUUGCCAUUAAUGCAUCAUUUCCAAUAUAUUUUUUUCUUUAUUAUUUUCCCCUAACCCUAGCAUCCCUCCCCUAAUUAGAGUCAACUAAUGGACAACAACACUUAGGUUUCUACUUCCAGCUUAUACAUACUAUAUACAUUUUACGGACACAGUAUAUUUUACAAUAGUUAUCUUUUGUUUGUUUUUAUUCCCAUCCUACAUCUCCACUCAACUCCUCCCAUCUACCUCUGAACACCAUCCAGUUUUUAUUUCUAUGUGCCAUAUACUUUUAAACUGUGCUGUGAUGUUCCACAAAAGUUCUGUACCUUUCUAUUCUCAUAGAUCCUACAUUAUUGUAAAUAAAAAAUACACUUUUUUUGCUAAA